rnacentral:rRNA from 1 species
AUUAUACCGUGAAACUGCGAAUGGCUCAUUAAAUCAGUUAUCGUUUAUUUGAUAGUACCUUACUACUUGGAUAACCGUGGUAAUUCUAGAGCUAAUACAUGCUAAAAACCCCAACUUCGGGAGGGGUGUAUUUAUUAGAUAAAAAACCAAUGCCCUUCGGGGCUCCUUGGUGAUUCAUGAUAACUUCUCAGAUCGCAUGGCUUUACGCCGGCGACGGUUCAUUCAAAUUUCUGCCCUAUCAACUUUCGAUGGUAAGGUAUUGGCUUACCAUGGUUUCAACGGGUAACGGGGAAUUAGGGUUCGAUUCCGGAGAGGGAGCCUGAGAAACGGCUACCACAUCCAAGGAAGGCAGCAGGCGCGCAAAUUACCCAAUUCCGAUACGGAGAGGUAGUGACAAUAAAUACUGAUACAGGGCUCUUUUGGGUCUUGUAAUUGGAAUGAGUACAAUUUAAACCUCUUAACGAGGAACAAUUGGAGGGCAAGUCUGGUGCCAGCAGCCGCGGUAAUUCCAGCUCCAAUAGCGUAUAUUAAAGUUGUUGCAGUUAAAAAGCUCGUAGUUGAACCUUUGGCCUGGCUGGCAGGUCCGCCUCACCGCGUGCACUUGUCCGGCCGGGCCUUUUCUUCUGGAGAACCGCAUGCCCUUCACUGGGUGUGUUGGGGACCAGGACUUUUACUUUGAAAAAAUUAGAGUGUUCAAAGCAGGCCUUUGCUCGAAUACGUUAGCAUGGAAUAAUAGAAUAGGACGUGCGGUCCUAUUUUGUUGGUUUCUAGGACCGCCGUAAUGAUUAAUAGGGACAGUCGGGGGCAUCAGUAUUCAAUUGUCAGAGGUGAAAUUCUUGGAUUUAUUGAAGACUAACUACUGCGAAAGCAUUUGCCAAGGAUGUUUUCAUUAAUCAGUGAACGAAAGUUAGGGGAUCGAAGACGAUCAGAUACCGUCGUAGUCUUAACCAUAAACUAUGCCGACUAGGGAUCGGGCGGUGUUUCUAUUGUGACCCGCUCGGCACCUUACGAGAAAUCAAAGUGUUGG